GGCUGACCUUUCGCGAGACCGAUAAGGAGAACGGCCGCCGUUUGAUUGGCAAGCGUCGCCGGUAAGAGCGUUGCCGCGGUGACGUGCGUCAAGCUGUUCCGACAAUGGGCGGCAGCGUUGUGUCAUUUCGCUCGUCACAAAGCCAGCAUUACAUCCUCGGGGAUCUGGUCAGCUUCCACCGGAGAACCUCGAGCAUCACUUUGACCAGGCGCUUACACAGUUCAGGUGACCUCAUCAAAUCUGGACCGUGUCGACUGCCCUUACAUCGCUCUUCUUCUCAAAACUAGCUUUUUAAAAUACACCAUUUACGAAACAUAUUUAAUAUAGUAUGCCUGCUACACGUGUCUCAUUCUUUACUGCCGUAUUAGGAAUGCUCAAUGAACAGUUCAGCAAAUUAACUUCUUAAAAUCUUCUUACAGUGUUCCCACAAUAUUUUAUAAGACCUGACAUCACUGAGUGAAUAUAUUAAGUAAAACACCUAUAGAACUCAACCUCCAAGUG